CCUACGGGAGGCUGCAGUGGGGAAUAUUGCACAAUGGGCGCAAGCCUGAUGCAGCCAUGCCGCGUGUGUGAAGAAGGCCUUCGGGUUGUAAAGCACUUUCAGCGGGGAGGAAGGCGUUAAGGUUAAUAACCUUGUCGAUUGACGUUACCCGCAGAAGAAGCACCGGCUAACUCCGUGCCAGCAGCCGCGGUAAUACGGAGGGUGCAAGCGUUAAUCGGAAUUACUGGGCGUAAAGCGCACGCAGGCGGUCUGUCAAGUCGGAUGUGAAAUCCCCGGGCUCAACCUGGGAACUGCAUUCGAAACUGGCAAGCUAGAGUCUUGUAGAGGGGGGUAGAAUUCCAGGUGUAGCGGUGAAAUGCGUAGAGAUCUGGAGGAAUACCGGUGGCGAAGGCGGCCCCCUGGACAAAGACUGACGCUCAGGUGCGAAAGCGUGGGGAGCAAACAGGAUUAGAUACCCGUGUAGUC
rnacentral:rRNA from 1 species